rnacentral:rRNA from 1 species
UAGGGAAUAUUGGGCAAUGGGCGCAAGCCUGACCCAGCGACGCCGCGUGAGGGAUGAAGGUCUUCGGAUUGUAAACCUCUUUCAGUAGGGAAGAAGCGAAAGUGACGGUACCUAAAGAAGAAGCACCGGCUAACUAUGUGCCAGCAGCCGCGGUAAUACAUAGGGUGCAAGCGUUGUCCGGAAUUAUUGGGCGUAAAGAGCUCGUAGGUCGUUUGUCGCGUCGAUUGUGAAAAUCUGAGGCUCAACCUCAGACCUGCAGUCGAUACGGGCAAACUAGAGUGUGGUAGGGGAGACUGGAAUUCCUGGUGUAGCGGUGGAAUGCGCAGAUAUCAGGAGGAACACCAAUGGCGAAGGCAGGUCUCUGGGCCAUAACUGACACUGAGGAGCGAAAGUGCGGGGA